UACGUAGGAGGCAAGCGUUGUCCGGAAUCACUGGGCGUAAAGCGCGUGUAGGCGGAUCGCUAAGUCUGUGGUGAAAGCGCCUGGCUUAACCGGGCGAGGUCCAUGGAAACUAGCGGUCUGGAGGCCGGUAGAGGGGGGGUGGAAUUCCGGGUGUAGUGGUGAAAUGCGUAGAGAUCCGGAGGAACACCAGUGGCGAAGGCGGCCCCCUGGGCCGCGCCUGACGCUGAGGAGCGAAAGCGUGGGGAGCGAACAGG
rnacentral:rRNA from 1 species